rnacentral:rRNA from 1 species
GCUCAUAAUGAACGCUGGCGGCGUGCCUAACACAUGCAAGUCGAACGAGAAAGCCCAGCUUGCUGGGCAAGUAAAGUGGCNNNCGGGUGAGUAACGCGUGGAUAAUCUACCUUUGUCUGGGGGAUAACAUACCGAAAGGUGUGCUAAUACCGCAUAACGUGAUCGAGUUGCGAUUUGAUCACCAAAGAAGGCCUCUCCAUGGAAGCUUUCGGGUAAAGAUGAGUCCGCGUCCCAUUAGCUAGUUGGUAGGGUAAUGGCCUACCAAGGCUACGAUGGGUAGCUGGUCUGAGAGGAUGGCCAGCCACACUGGAACUGGAACACGGUCCAGACUCCUACGGGAGGCAGCAGUGAGGAAUCUUGCGCAAUGGGGGCAACCCUGACGCAGCAACGCCGCGUGAGUGAAGAAGGCCUUCGGGUCGUAAAGCUCUGUCAAGUGGGAAGAAACACCUGAAGCUGAAUAAUCUUCAGGCCUGACGGUACCACUGGAGGAAGCACCGGCUAACUCCGUGCCAGCAGCCGCGGUAAUACGGAGGGUGCAAGCGUUAUUCGGAAUUAUUGGGCGUAAAGGGCGUGUAGGCGGCCAGAUAAGUCAGAUGUGAAAGCCCAGGGCUCAACCCUGGAAGUGCAUUUGAAACUAUUUGGCUUGAGUGCGGGAGAGGAAAGCGGAAUUCCCAGUGUAGAGGUGAAAUUCGUAGAUAUUGGGAGGAACACCGGUGGCGAAGGCGGCUUUCUGGACCGACACUGA